rnacentral:rRNA from 1 species
GACGAACGCUGGCGGCGUGCUUAACACAUGCAAGUCGAACGGAAAGGCCCCUUUGGGGGUCCUCGAGUGGCGAACGGGUGAGUAACACGUGAGUAACCUGCCCUUGACUUCGGGAUAACUUCAGGAAACUGGGGCUAAUACCGGAUAGGAAUCCUUGCUGCAUGGUGGGGGUUGGAAAGCUUCGGCGGUUUUGGAUGGACUCGCGGCUUAUCAGCUUGUUGGUGGGGUAGUGGCUUACCAAGGCUUUGACGGGUAGCCGGCCUGAGAGGGCGACCGGCCACAUUGGGACUGAGAUACGGCCCAGACUCCUACGGGAGGCAGCAGUGGGGAAUAUUGCACAAUGGGCGGAAGCCUGAUGCAGCAACGCCGCGUGCGGGAUGACGGCCUUCGGGUUGUAAACCGCUUUCAGCAGGGGCGAAGCUUUUGUGACGGUACCUGCAGAAGAAGCACCGGCGAACUACGU